rnacentral:lncRNA from 13 species
UGGGCUUUGGCCAAAGGAAGAGAAAGUCAUACCACCUGGCCGCUUGGAAGCAGACAAAAACUUGCAAAAAGAUUGUCUCAAGGUGCAAGCUUCCAGGAUUUUUAGAUGGAAUUUGCAUCGUGGCUGGUUAUAGUUUCUCCAGUGGCCUGUCUUCUGGAGUUAGCAAUUCUCACAAUUUCAUAACCUUCAUUGCCCUUAAUACAGCAGACAGGACACUGAUAUCAUCGGCAGAAUGCUGCAGAAAAACAGGUGAAGAUAAACACUGGUGCCCUUCCUCUGCCAAACAGUCAAACCCUGAAGAAGAGACAAGGUGUGAGUCUCACUAUUUCCUUUCAAAGGGUAAAAUCAAGGUUAUUUCAAUGUAUUUUCCAAACAUCAGUUCUGGUGAGAACAUCGAUUUGAUUUCUAACUCAGAGACUCAUGUUUGAUAUUACUGCAAAAUAGUUAAAGGCAUAGAAUACCUCCUAGAAAGAAAGAUUCCAUAAUGCUACCUAUACAGAAACGAUUUGUAACUCAUCCUUCAUCUAAAAACUCAGGUUUUUAUUAUUUAUUUAUUUAUGUGCUAAAGAAGUACAUUGCUGAAAUAUCCAUUUAAGAUGUAAACCUUUAUUACAAUAACUGUUCCUCCAGCUAGUGAAAUCUCAAAUAUUCCUUUAAACAAUGUACAUAGAGUAUAUCUGACUCAGCCCUG